CGGGACGUAGCACAGCCUGGUAGUGCGCCUGCUUCGGGAGCAGGAGGCCGGAGGUUCGAAUCCUCUCGUCCCGACCA
rnacentral:tRNA from 3 species